UGAGGAAUAUUGGUCAAUGGGCGAGAGCCUGAACCAGCCAAGUCGCGUGAAGGAAGACUGCCCGCAAGGGUUGUAAACUUCUUUUGUAUGGGAUUAAAGUCACCUACGUGUAGGUGUUUGCAGUUACCAUACGAAUAAGCAUCGGCUAAUUCCGUGCCAGCAGCCGCGGUAAUACGGAAGGUCCGGGCGUUCUCCGGAAUUAUUGGGCUUAAAGGGCAUCUAGGCGGUAAGACAAGUUGAAGGUGAAAACCUGUGGCUCAACCAUAGGCUUGCCUACAAAACUGUUGAACUAGAGUACUGGAAAGGUGGGUGGAACUACACGAGUAGAGGUGAAAUUCGUAGAUAUGUGUAGGAAUGCCGAUGAUGAAGAUAACUCACUGGACAGAAACUGACGCUGAAGUGCGAAAGCUAGGGGAGCAAACAGG
rnacentral:rRNA from 1 species